AUCAGAUUGUCAAAAGACAUAAUAGCUGUCGUAUUCUUAUUUGUUCUAGGCUUAAGAAGAAGAAAGUCAAUUAUCAGCUGCUCCAGAGCUCAGCUACCUUCUUGACAUGGUCCCUUGCAAAGGUCCUUCUCUUGAAUGGUUCCAUACAUCUCAGAGAAGGAGCAUUUCACCUUUCUGGUCCACGGGUUGCACACAAACAUCAAACUAAGUCCAAGACACAACAUCAUUCACGUUUCCUUAUGAUCAGAGUGCCACAAAAUGGGCGAGAACUGGGAUUCAGCUGCCCUGAAUAAU
rnacentral:lncRNA from 14 species